AUGAACGCUAGCUACAGGCUUAACACAUGCAAGUCGAGGGGCAGCAUGAACUUAGCUUGCUAAGUUUGAUGGCGACCGGCGCACGGGUGAGUAACACGUAUCCAACCUGCCGAUGACUCGGGGAUAGCCUUUCGAAAGAAAGAUUAAUACCCGAUGGCAUAGUUCUUCCGCAUGGUAGAACUAUUAAAGAAUUUCGGUCAUCGAUGGGGAUGCGUUCCAUUAGGUUGUUGGCGGGGUAACGGCCCACCAAGCCUUCGAUGGAUAGGGGUUCUGAGAGGAAGGUCCCCCACAUUGGAACUGAGACACGGUCCAAACUCCUACGGGAGGCAGCAGUGAGGAAUAUUGGUCAAUGGACGAGAGUCUGAACCAGCCAAGUAGCGUGAAGGAUGACUGCCCUAUGGGUUGUAAACUUCUUUUAUACGGGAAUAAAGUGAGGCACGUGUGCCUUUUUGUAUGUACCGUAUGAAUAAGGAUCGGCUAACUCCGUGCCAGCAGCCGCGGUAAUACGGAGGAUCCGAGCGUUAUCCGGAUUUAUUGGGUUUAAAGGGAGCGUAGGCGGACGCUUAAGUCAGUUGUGAAAGUUUGCGGCUCAACCGUAAAAUUGCAGUUGAUACUGGGUGUCUUGAGUACAGUAGAGGCAGGCGGAAUUCGUGGUGUAGCGGUGAAAUGCUUAGAUAUCACGAAGAACUCCGAUUGCGAAGGCAGCCUGCUGGACUGUAACUGACGCUGAUGCUCGAAAGUGUGGGUAUCAAACAGGAUUAGAUACCCUGGUAGUCCACACAGUAAACGAUGAAUACUCGCUGUUUGCGAUAUACAGUAAGCGGCCAAGCGAAAGCGUUAAGUAUUCCACCUGGGGAGUACGAUCGCAAGGUUGAAACUCAAAGGAAUUGACGGGGGCCCGCACAAGCGGUGGAUUAUGUGGUUUAAUUCGAAGCAACGCGAAGAACCUUACCAAGUCUUGACAUCCCGAUGACCAAGUAUGUAAUGUACUCUCUCUUCGGAGCAUCGGUGACAGGUGGUGCAUGGUUGUCGUCAGCUCGUGUCGUGAGAUGUUGGGUUAAGUCCCGCAACGAGCGCAACCCUUAUUGCCAGUUACUACGUUAAGAGGACUCUGGCGAGACUGCCGUUGACAAAACGGAGGAAGGUGGGGAUGACGUCAAAUCAGCACGGCCCUUACGUCCGGGGCUACACACGUGUUACAAUGGGGGGUACAGAAGGCAGCUACACGGCGACGUGAUGCUAAUCCCUAAAGCCUCUCUCAGUUCGGAUUGGAGUCUGCAACCCGACUCCAUGAAGCUGGAUUCGCUAGUAAUCGCGCAUCAGCCACGGCGCGGUGAAUACGUUCCCGGGCCUUGUACACACCGCCCGUCACACCAUGGGAGUUGGUAACGCCCGAAGUCAGUGACCCAACCUUUCAGGAGGGAGCUGCCGAAGGCGGGACUGAUAACUGGGGUG
rnacentral:rRNA from 1 species